UUGUUGUGAUGUGAAGUGUGUUACGUUUACUGUCACCAUCAAGCGCUCACAUCUCCAAUUUUUGCUCGCAAAUCAAAGCAAAAAUUUGGCCGAAUGACUGCUCCUAUCUAAAAAUCUCAGAAGUCGGGGCACUUGUAAGUCAAGGUCAAAUCAAACCAAAAAAACUGACACAAAGAAAAUUGGAUAAGACAUACUCUGCUGCUGUUUUUUUUAGCCCUGCCCCCCACCCUGUGGCAGCGACACAAAGGGGGGGGCAAGAUAAGUGGAGUAAAACGUAUGCAUAGCAUAAACCACUGUGCCCUUAAUCCAAGAGAAAAGGCCGAGAUAAACCCAGCAUGAAUCACAAGGUCAGAAGGCCUCGCUUGUGAAGGGAACACCACAAAGUGGGCGAGCUGCUGCAGAUGAGGAAAUACGCUGCAAAAAUUGGGCUUAAAGAAGAAAAGUUUUUGCAGUGCAGGUAGCUGACACAACAAAGGUGUUUGCACUCAGCUGAGUGCUAGAGCAGCGGCCGUGAGCAACAAGAGGGCGUGCGGGGAAUAAAACACUUCUGACACGG